ACUUGCGUUAACGCACCCACAUUCGCGUCCGCGAAGUAGUAUCUGCCUUUCGAAGUUCCACAUUUUAUUCCAAGAAGUUUGAAGACAAGUCAGCAUUGUGAAGAACCUGAUCCAUCAAGAAAAUUUAUUGCUUUCGAGACACCUAUGGGUCAAAUUGCGAGGUGUUUGUACAUUUCAAGAAGUUUGUAUCACACAAGCCCUGUCUCGAGACCCUAUCAGCAGAACUGGAAGACGGUAUUUCAACGAUUUUUCCAGUCUGGUGAAAAGCCUGUCAUCUUUAACUUCACAGACAAGGGACAAUCAGAUUGUUAUUUACACAGAGGAGCUUAUGGACUUUACCUUGUUGGAAGUUUUAUCUCUUUUUAUGGAGUAUAUCUGAUGAUCAAUUGUAAGACAAAGAAAAGCUCACAGUGAAUUCUUCACAGGGAAUUUGAUAAUUUUCUACAGCAUUGCUUCUCAUGUGUGGAAACUGGAUAGACAUUUCUUCAAGAAGACUGUCAUGUUAGAAACUUCAGAUUGGAAUUGUCUCAUCUUGUUAAGAAUUGGUCAAGUUGACUUUGCAAGUAGUUUGUUAGACUAUUUCAAGUCCCAUGGAAAGUCAUGCAGUUGUUUUCCAGAACAUUUGGUCACUUUGGUUGAAUGUUUGGAUGAUCAUCAUGCAGAGAAUCAACUGAACUACAAUCAGUCAAGUCACAAGAAAAUACUUCAUGGAAUGUCUAGUCUGGCUUCUAGGACCAUUAUACCACAAAACAUUUAUCUCAGAAACUCUAGCACUGUGUGUGAAGAGAUAGUGAAUGAAAUAACCUUAAAAUGAGCAUUCUUUUCAGCAGUUCUAACUUCAAGCCAAUGAACACUUUAUAGCUGGCUUUUGAAAGAAUGCAAUUUUUUUUUUUUUGAAAUAAAGUAGAUGUUAUGUUGGAAAAAGAAUUGCUCACAUAUUGUCAGAGCACUCCUUUGAAGUCGAUUGAAAUGUGACUUUUUAAUUAAUACAAGAAACAACCUAUUCAUUUCACAGGUUCUACAGGUGCUAAACAAUUGGAUGAAGCUGGGACUAAGAUUUUAUUAUUUAUGAGAUGUAACAUAGACAAAGUAAUGUAUACUAUUAUUAACAUGAAAAUUUAUUGUAAUAUUUGCAAAUCAAA